UCUGGCGGAAGGUGGAUGGGGAGUAUAUUGGCAAAUACUUAGUCAUGAUGCUCCAACCAUCUUGAGGUAGAUGGCAUGUUUGAUGGACCAGCUCACGUAAUCCCGUGAACUUCAUGUUUUCAGAAGUAGAAUUGACAGAGGAGCCCGCACUUUAAGGCUAAGCUGAAAAACAUCUUUUUCGAGACUGAUGGUCCUACAUAGAUUUCCAUUCUUGCCUUCAGUUAUCUUCCAAAACUGUUCUCCUUUUGACCAUGUACAACUUCAAAACAGAGCAUCAGGUAUGCGUCAUACCUGGAGGAACCCCUGAGGAUAUGGUAGAUGAGGAGGUCUGACCCUGUCCCUUAGACGUCAUGGCUGCUA